rnacentral:rRNA from 1 species
GUGAACGCUGGCGGUAGGCCUAACACCUGCAAGUCGAACGGCAGCACCGUAAGAGCUUGCUCUUACGGGUGGCGAGUGGCGGACGGGUGAGGAAUACAUCGGAAUCUACUUUUUCGUGGGGGAUAACGUAGGGAAACUUACGCUAAUACCGCAUACGACCUACGGGUGAAAGCAGGGGAUCUUCGGACCUUGCGCGAUUGAAUGAGCCGAUGUCGGAUUAGCUAGUUGGCGGGGUAAAGGCCCACCAAGGCGACGAUCCGUAGCUGGUCUGAGAGGAUGAUCAGCCACACUGGAACUGAGACACGGUCCAGACUCCUACGGGAGGCAGCAGUGGGGAAUAUUGGACAAUGGGCGCAAGCCUGAUCCAGCCAUACCGCGUGGGUGAAGAAGGCCUUCGGGUUGUAAAGCCCUUUUGUUGGAAAAGAAAAGCAGCAGGUUAAUACCCCGCUGUUCUGACGGUACCCAAAGAAUAAGCACCGGCUAACUUCGUG